UGAGGUCAUGCAAGAUUUUUUUUUUUUUCUGUGUCAGGCUUAUUUCACUUACUAUAACAUGCAUGGCCCUAGAGGGCAUUAUCCUACAUAGUAUAUAAAACUAAAGUAAUGGAUGAAAUUAACUAAGAAUGUUGAAAUAGAUGAAAGACCAGAACCAACUGCUAAAGGAGUCUGAGAAGAAAUAGCUAGAGGGUAGCAGAAAAAUCAGGCAAGAGUACAGUUUAUUUCAAGAAGGACAUAGUGUCAAUAGUGCCACAAUCUAUUAAGAGGGCAAGUAAACUGCUGUCAGCUGGGUCAUUAAUUCAUUAGAUAUUUACUGAACAGAAAGCUGGAUUCCUGAUGUGUGGGGAGAUGCACAAAGUAUAACUACAGGUGUUUGAUGGGUAAGUCACAGCAGUAAGGGUGAGCUCUAAAGAAUACCUUAGAUCCAGAGAGAAGGUAGAGAGAAGGACUUUCAUUCAUUCUCUCACUCAUUUAUUCACCCAUUCAUAUAACAAACAGUGUUUGAGUACUAUUUCAACAAAAAGAAACCAUGUUAACACAGGUCCAUGACUUUAGAAUAGCCCAGGCUUUUCAUUAGAACAAAGAGCAGCAUACUGCCCCCAGAGUUUUUGAUUGGCAAAUCCUGUGCUUUAAUUUCUACCAUAAUUUCUUUUCUAUGCAGAAAACAAUGUAUUUUUCUGAGGAUAAGGAAAGAAAAUGAUUUAUUGACACUGAAGAACCCAUUAAUGCAGUGCCUUUGCAGAAAACCACAGAGGACUAAAUUCAUUCAGCCUUAAGGCCAGUACUACAGGCAGCUAAAGUCUGCUUCAGAACGAAACCAAUGCAGAAGAAAGCAGAACCAAGAGAUGGAGAGAGACAGAGACCCAAGAACAUCAUUUGAACGAAUAAAUUCAGCUGUGCCCUGAAGCCAGAUCAUCCAUUUGGAUUUUCCACCUACAUAAACCAAGAACCAUUCUCCUCUCCCCCUUUAUUUUCUUCAUUUACUUUGAAAUCAGUGUUGUUAUUAUUUAACCUCUCUGGCUUUCAGUUUUCUCAUCUAUAAAUUAAGAAGAUUACCCUUAAACAUCUACCAUCACCAUAAGAAGAACAUGCCCUAGCUGAAAUCUCUGGCAUGAAAAGACAAGAAACAUAUGAAUUAGGGUCACCCUAAAGUGCCCACAAACCAGUGGUUUAAAGUAGAGGUACCAGCCAAGCCCAGCCUAGAUCAACCAAGUCUUAGCCAACCUGCCAACACAGGGGCAAUAAUAAAAAUAUUGUUAAGAGCAAUAA
rnacentral:lncRNA from 1 species